CCUACGGGAGGCAGCAGUGAGGAAUAUUGGUCAAUGGCCGCAAGGCUGAACCAGCCAAGUCGCGUGAAGGAAGACUGCUCUACGGUUUGUAAACUUCUUUUAUAGAGGAAUAAAGUUAUCCACGUGUGCAUAUUUGUAUGUACUCUAUGAAUAAGCAUCGGCUAACUCCGUGCCAGCAGCCGCGGUAAUACGGAGGAUGCGAGCGUUAUCCGGAUUUAUUGGGUUUAAAGGGUGCGUAGGUUGUUUUUUAAGUCAGCGGUGAAAGUUUGUGGCUCAACCAUAAAAUUGCCGUUGAAACUGGAAGACUUGAGUGUGUUUGAGGUAGGCGGAAUGCGUGGUGUAGCGGUGAAAUGCAUAGAUAUCACGCAGAACUCCGAUUGCGAAGGCAGCUUACUAAGCCAUAACUGACACUGAAGCACGAAAGCGUGGGGAUCAAACAGGAUUAGAUACCCGAGUAGUC
rnacentral:rRNA from 1 species